GCCGGAGUGGCGGAAUUGGCAGACGCACAGGACUUAAAAUCCUGCGAUCUUCAUCGAUCGUACCGGUUCGACCCCGGUCUUCGGCACCA
rnacentral:tRNA from 1 species